GCUUGUCUCAAAGAUUAAGCCAUGCAUGUCUAAGUAUAAGCCUUUAUAUGGUGAGACUGCGAAUGGCUCAUUAAAUCAGAAACUGUUUAUUUGAUAGUGCCUACUACAUGGAUACCUGUAGUAAUUCUAGAGCUAAUACAUGCGACAACCCUCAUUAGAGGCGUAUUUAUUAGAUACAACCAACCCUUCGGGUCACUGGUGAAUCAUAAUAACUUAUCGAACCGCAUGCGCAAGCGGCGGUGGUUCAUUCAAGUUUCUGCCCUAUCAGCUUUCGAUGGUAGGGUAUUGGCCUACCAUGGCUUUCACGGGUAACGGAGAAUUAGGGUUCGAUUCCGGAGAGGGAGCCUGAGAGAUGGCUACCACAUCCAAGGAAGGCAGCAGG
rnacentral:rRNA from 1 species